UUCUGGACCCAUGUGAGGUUUCCUUCCAUGGAGGUAACUAGGCACUUUCUACACAAGCGAACAAGACCACACAACUGUAUGAUGCCUAUCAAUAUUACAACAUGUAACUGGGCACUUUCAACACAAGUGAACAAGACCACACAACAGUAUGAUGCCUAGCAAAAUGUAAAAUAUGUAACUGGGCACUUUCAACACAAGCAAACAAGACCACACAACUGUAUGAUGAUUAGCAAAAUGUAAAAUAUACACCUUUCACUUACUGCAAGUAUUUCACUUUGGCAUAAAUGUGAGUUACAUCUCUAGCAUCAAAAGAUUGGUAACACAGACCACUGAUAUCACUUCCAAGACUGUGUUUUCUUUGUCGUAUUAAUUUCUGUUUGUUGAAAAACACAGAUUUAGUUUUGUUGAUAUAUGCACGAAAGCUGACAGAGGAACAGGUCAUACUGGGAGCAGUAGAUCUGUGACUUGGAUGCAGCACAGUUACUGAUUUGAUGCCAUUAAGGCACAAAGCUUUGUAAUGAUUAAAAUGGUGAGUGAAUGUAAAUCCUGGAAGUGUUAUUUCUUUAUACUAAAACCUGCUACUUUGUUAUGUUUCAGAAAUUUCUUGAGCACCUCGACUUGAAAA